rnacentral:rRNA from 1 species
GUGCCAGCCGCCGCGGUAAAACGUAGGAGGCGAGCGUUAUCCGGAUUUACUGGGCGUAAAGCGCGUGUAGGCGGUUUCAUAAGUCGUGCGUGAAAGCUCCCUGGCUCAACCGGGAGAGGUCGUGCGAUACUGCGAAACUUGAGUCAGACAGAGGCAAGUAGAAUUCCGGGUGUAGUGGUGAAAUGCGUAGAUAUCCGGAGGAAUACCAGUGGCGAAGGCGACUUGCUGGGUCUGUACUGACGCUCAGACGCGAAAGCAUGGGGAGCGAACGGGAUUAGAAACCCUUGUAGUCC